rnacentral:rRNA from 1 species
UUGCUCCGCUGACGAGUGGCGAACGGGUGAGUAAUAUAUCGGAACGUGCCCUAGAGUGGGGGAUAACUAGUCGAAAGAUUAGCUAAUACCGCAUACGAUCUACGGAUGAAAGUGGGGGAUCGCAAGACCUCAUGCUCAUGGAGCGGCCGAUAUCUGAUUAGCUAGUUGGUAGGGUAAAAGCCUACCAAGGCAUCGAUCAGUAGCUGGUCUGAGAGGACGACCAGCCACACUGGGACUGAGACACGGCCCAGACUCCUACGGGAGGCAGCAGUGGGGAAUUUUGGACAAUGGGCGCAAGCCUGAUCCAGCAAUGCCGCGUGAGUGAAGAAGGCCUUCGGGUUGUAAAGCUCUUUUGUCAGGGAAGAAACGGACUGGGUUAAUACCUUGGUCUAAUGACGGUACCUGAAGAAUAAGCACCGGCUAACUACGUGCCAGCAGCCGCGGUAAUACGUAGGGUGCAAGCGUUAAUCGGAAUUACUGGGCGUAAAGCGUGCGCAGGCGGUUAUGUAAGACAGAUGUGAAAUGCCCGGGCUUAACCUGGGAACUGCA